rnacentral:rRNA from 1 species
UACGUAGGGGGCAAGCGUUUGUCCGGAAUUAUUGGGCGUAAAGCGCGUGUAGGCGGUCCGAUAAGUCGGUUGUGAAAGUCCAGGGCUCAACUCUGGGAUGCCGGCCGAUACUGUCGGACUAGAGUUCGGAAGAGGCGAGUGGAAUUCCCGGUGUAGCGGUGAAAUGCGCAGAUAUCGGGAGGAACACCAAUGGCGAAGGCAGCUCGCUGGGACGUUACUGACGCUGAGACGGCGAAAGCGUGGGGAGCAAACAGG